UACAGAGGUCUCAAGCGUUGUUCGGAUUCAUUGGGCGUAAAGCGUGCGUAGGCGGCGCGCUAAGUCAGGUGUGAAAUCUCGGGGCUUAACUCCGAAACUGCAUUUGAUACUGGCGUGCUUGAGGACUGGAGAGGAGACUGGAAUUCAUGGUGUAGCAGUGAAAUGCGUAGAGAUCAUGAGGAAGACCAGUGGCGAAGGCGGGUCUCUGGACAGUUCCUGACACUGAGGCACGAAGGCCAGGGGAGCAAACGGG
rnacentral:rRNA from 1 species